UACAGAGGUGGCAAGCGUUGUUCGGAAUCACUGGGCUUAAAGGGCGCGUAGGCGGUUGGAAAGGUGCUCUGUGAAAGCCCCGGGCUCAACCUGGGAAGUGCAUUGGAAACUGGGGAACUUGAAUACGGGAGAGGGUAGUGGAAUUCCUGGUGUAGGAGUGAAAUCCGUAGAUAUCAGGAGGAACACCGGUGGCGAAGGCGGCUACCUGGACCGAUAUUGACGCUGAGACGCGAAAGCGUGGGGAGCAAACAGG
rnacentral:rRNA from 1 species